GGACGCAUGCGGAAGCGUAAGGACCCUCUGAUUUCAGCUCUUAAUCAGCGGGUCCUAGGUUCGAGCCCUAGUGCGUCCACCA
rnacentral:tRNA from 5 species